rnacentral:ncRNA from 1 species
UUUACUGAACUUAAGCAUAUCAAUAAGCGGAGGAAAAGAAACCAACAGGGAUUGCCUCAGUAACGGCGAGUGAAGCGGCA